AGUGAACGCUGGCGGUAGGCCUAACACAUGCAAGUCGAACGGCAGCACAGUAAGAGCUUGCUCUUACGGGUGGCGAGUGGCGGACGGGUGAGGAAUACAUCGGAAUCUACUUUUUCGUGGGGGAUAACGUAGGGAAACUUACGCUAAUACCGCAUACGACCUACGGGUGAAAGCAGGGGAUCUUCGGACCUUGCGCGAUUGAAUGAGCCGAUGUCGGAUUAGCUAGUUGGCGGGGUAAAGGCCCACCAAGGCGACGAUCCGUAGCUGGUCUGAGAGGAUGAUCAGCCACACGGGAACUGAGACACGGCCCAGACUCCUGCGGGAGGCAGCAGUGGGGAAUAUUGGACAAUGGGCGCAAGCCUGAUCCAGCCAUACCGCGUGGGUGAAGAAGGCCUUCGGGUUGUAAAGCCCUUUUGUUGGGAAAGAAAAGCAGCAGGUUAAUACCCCGCUGUUCUGACGGUACCCAAAGAAUAAGCACCGGCUAACUUCGUG
rnacentral:rRNA from 1 species